rnacentral:rRNA from 1 species
AACGAACGCUGGCGGCAUGCCUAACACAUGCAAGUCGAACGAGACCUGCGGGUCUAGUGGCGCACGGGUGCGUAACGCGUGGGAACCUGCCCUUAGGUUCGGAAUAACUCCCCGAAAGGGGUGCUAAUACCGGAUAAUGUCUUCGGACCAAAGAUUUAUCGCCUUUGGAAGGGCCCGCGUUGGAUUAGCUAGUUGGUAGGGUAAAAGCCUACCAAGGCGACGAUCCAUAGCUGGUCUGAGAGGAUGAUCAGCCACACUGGGACUGAGACACGGCCCAGACUCCUACGGGAGGCAGCAGUGGGGAAUAUUGGACAAUGGGCGAAAGCCUGAUCCAGCAAUGCCGCGUGAGUGAUGAAGGCCUUAGGGUUGUAAAGCUCUUUUACCCGGGAUGAUAAUGACAGUACCGGGAGAAUAAGCUCCGGCUAACUCCGUG